rnacentral:rRNA from 1 species
GGUCAGGACGAACGCUGGCGGCGUGCCUAACACAUGCAAGUCGAGCGGAGUCGGUAAGAGGAAGUUUCGGAUGGAAUCUUAUUGAUUUAGCGGCGGACGGGUGAGUAACGCGUGAGCGACCAACCUUGCACAGGGGGAUAACGGACCGAAAGGUUCACUAAUACCGCAUGAGACCACGGUGUUGCAUGACACAGAGGUCAAAGGAGCAAUCCGGUGCAAGACGGGCUCGCGUCCGAUUAGGUAGUUGGAGGGGUAACGGCCCACCAAGCCUAUGAUCGGUAGCCGACCUGAGAGGGUGAUCGGCCACAUUGGAACUGAGAUACGGUCCAAACUCCUACGGGAGGCAGCAGUGGGGAAUAUUGGGCAAAUGGGGGAAACCCUGACCCAGCAACGCCGCGUGAAGGAAGAAGGUUUUCGGAUUGUAAACUUCUGUCCUUGGUGAAGAGAAGAAGACGGUAGCCAAGGAGGAAGCCCCGGCUAACUACGUGCCAGCCGCUGC